AUGUCACUUCUGCACUGCUUCCUGAAGCCCUCCAGGAUGAGCCUGCAGCGGUGCGUCGCCGGCGACGACAUGACGGCGGACGAGUUCAAGGAGUGGAUCCGGCGGUUCGACGCGGACCAGGACGGGCGCAUCAGCCGCGACGAGCUGCGGCGCGCCAUGCGGGCGCUGCGCGUGCGGUUCACGCGGCGGAGGAGCAGGAGCGGCAUCAGCUACGCCGACGCCGACGGCGACGGGUACAUCGACGACAGCGAGAUCGACGGCCUCGUCGAGUUCGCGCGGACCAGCCUCGGCCUCCGGAUCGUCGCCUGCUAG
rnacentral:rRNA from 1 species